ACAUGGUCGCAAAGCCGAUCCUAUUGAGAUGUUUUAUAUAGUGCACAAACGGCGAGAUGAAAACAAAAGUUGGAUAGAUGAUGCAUCGGAGGAAUUGGCAGUUAAGAUCUCACGGGAAUUAACGAGUUUGGUUGAAACCCAUGGCGAGGAAACAUAAGAACUAAGCAACAAGCUUAUGUAGCAGCAAGGGGUUUAGAAACUCGUGGUAGAGUUCGUGGUUAUGGAAGAGGGGUGACGCCAUACAUGAUUCCUUGGGUGGGACAAACUCAGCCAACAGCUUCAUCACUUUGAUCACGUACUGGGCGAGCAUAUGCUAAUUUGCAAUCUCAAUAUUCAGAACUUGAGGAAAAGUAUGAGCGACA